GACGAAGGGGGCUAGCGUUGUUCGGAAUUACUGGGCGUAAAGAGCGUGUAGGCGGCCAGGUAGGUCUGCUGUGAAAACUCGAGGCUUAACCUCGAGAUGUCGGCGGAAACCAUCUGGCUAGAGUCCGGAAGAGGAGAGUGGAAUUCCUGGUGUAGCGGUGAAAUGCGCAGAUAUCAGGAAGAACACCCGUGGCGAAGGCGGCUCUCUGGGACGGUACUGACGCUGAGACGCGAAAGCGUGGGGAGCGAACAGG
rnacentral:rRNA from 1 species